UACGAAGGGGGCUAGCGUUGCUCGGAAUCACUGGGCGUAAAGGGUGCGUAGGCGGGUCUUUAAGUCAGAGGUGAAAUCCUGGAGCUCAACUCCAGAACUGCCUUUGAUACUGAGGGUCUUGAGUAUGACAGAGGUGAGUGGAACUGCGAGUGUAGAGGUGAAAUUCGUAGAUAUUCGCAAGAACACCAGUGGCGAAGGCGGCUCACUGGCCCGAUACUGACGCUGAGGCACGAAAAGCGUGGGGGAGCAAACAGG
rnacentral:rRNA from 1 species